UUCUUCAGGGUCGGGUGAAAGUCCCAACCGGUGGUAUAGCCCACGAGCGCCGUCAACUGCGUUGGCGGGGCAGAUUCGGUGAAACUCCGAGGCCGACAGUACAGUCUGGAUGAAAGAAGA
rnacentral:ncRNA from 1 species